AAAUGCUUAAAAGCGCCAGGACAUUUUUCGCUUAGAAAAAUGUUGACGAGGUUGGAGGUUAAUCGAGUAAUCGGCGGAUACCUCCCGGUGUUUAUCACCACCGUUAAAGGCAUAUAACAAAACUCGAGAUUAAUCUCGAGGACAAAAGGUGCUGGGUGAUAAG
rnacentral:ncRNA from 1 species